rnacentral:lncRNA from 1 species
AGUCCCGGUUGGUAACCCUUUGUAGUCUCGGUUUUUCAACCGGGACGGACUAAAGAUCGCAAUCUUUAGUCCCGAUUCAAAUAAUCGGGACUAAAAAUAUGGUCCCGGUUGUUGUUACCAACCGGGACUAAAAAAGUUUUGUUUGUUUUCUUUUCCUUUCAUCCGGUUGGCCUUUUUCCUUUUGUAUUGUUCUUUAGCUUUCGCUCGUGGAUCAAAUGAAUAAAAUCAACAACAGAGCCUAAAUCAUAGAUCGAAUGAAUAAAAUCAAACAACAAAACAUCCAUAUUCUUUACACUUGUUCAGAUCUACAACAUCUUCAGAACAAUGAGCAUUCAUCACAGAGAACAAAGAGAGCAUUCAUCACAGAGAAUAGAGAAAGAAAAAAGAAAGUUCACAUCUACAACAUCUCCAGCAUUCAUCAGAUAGCAUAGAGAAAAGAAAAAAAAAGUUCUCCGCCUGCCGCCGCCGCCCUCCCGACCGGCGCCGGCUGUCCCCGACGCAGCCGGCUGCCGCCCUCUCGACCGGCGCCGGCCACCGCCACCUCGACCGGCGCCAGUCGCCCCCAUCUCGCCGCCCCGCGCCCGAUGCAGCCGGCCACCGCCCCUCUCGACCGGCGCCGGUCGCCGCCGCCCUCGAUGCAGCCCGCCGCCGCCUCCAUCUCGUCGCCUCGCGUCGGGCCGCCGCGGAGGCCUCCAUCCCGUCGCCCUGUCCGGGGCCGCCGUGGCCGGCCUCCAUCCCGCCGCCCCGCUGGAGGGGAGGAGAGGGGAGGAGGAGAUGGGGUGAGAGAAGAAGGAAGAGAAGGAUGGGAGGAAAGGAGGAGAGAAGAAGAUAAGAUGGAGAGGAUGGCUGGAUGGGAGAGGAGGGGAUAAGGAUGGAAUUAAUAGGAGACUUUCAUGCGCGCGCGUGGAUAGAGGCUUUGUUUUACCGGUUGUUAGAAUUUUUAGUCCCGGUUACACCAACCGGGACUAAAGUUAGGAUCACCAACCGGGACUAAAGAUCAAAUAUGCCCACUGUAGCCACCAACCAGGAUUAAAGAUGAUUUUUAGUGGAAUCGGGACUAUUGUGGAUUUUGGUCGGCCGACCAAAAAUGGUUUCUCCACCAGUGGUAGCAAAGCCACAACACUGCAAUGCCACUUGUACGUCCGGUUCCAAUUUAUGUGUUUAGUUCACGUUAAAAUUGAAAGUUUGGUUGAAAUUAGAAUGAUGUGACAGAAAAGUUGAAAGUUUAUAUGUGUAGAAAAGUUUUUAUGUGAUAAAAAAGUUAAAAGUUUGUAACUAAACUCGGCCUUAAGCGCCGGUUGAUUCUCGCAUGUACUAGUACACAGUACACCAGUACUACUGUACCACUAGCACUACUGAUCGCGCUAAUUUUUCGCUUAAACAAACGGGAAUCAGAGGGAGCGCGACAGGCGACAGCCGCCGGGGACA